CAGACUGUGGCUUCAGCUCGGCGUCCUAUCAGCAAGGGGUCCUGUCGGCCACCCUCCUCUAUGAGAUCCUGCUGGGGAAGGCCGCCCUGUACGCUGUGCUGGUCAGCGCCCUGGUGCUGAUGGCCACGGUAAGGAGGAGGGCAGGAGGGGGCAGGCAGGGUGGAGGCCACACUUGAAACCAAGCAACUCAGACCCAGGGGCAUGUGGCCCCCACCAGGGGCUCAGAGUGAAGAGGGGGGUCACCCAUCUGCCUCACAAGACACGCCGUGCCUCUGGGAAGGACCACGGCAGGGCCACGUGGGGAAGGAGAGCUGGGCUCCCUGAAAACCCCAUGUUGUUGGGAAGAGCCCUGCCCUUUGCUACCGGUCUCAUCAGUGGGCCAUUCGAGUCCCCUCAGUCCCCAGCGCUCCUGGCUAGUGGUCAUCUCCCAAACCAUCUCUCCUUCAGGUCAAGAGAAAGGGUGCCUGAAGCCGGCUCUGACGUGGAGCCAGGAGCUUCCAGCCUGCUGUGGGCCUGGGGUGACUCUCCUCUUUCCAUUCCUCCCAGUGCUUCUGAGGAGCUGCUCCCAUCUCUCUCCUCAUCCUCGGCUCUCCCCCAUGGGCAGGCACCCCUGCCCACUCCUGACUGCCAUCUCCCUAGCCCAGGGGGGACCCCAGCCUGCCUGAGCUGACCCAACCAAUAAAAACAGCCUGUUCUGCCCGGAUGCUGCCUCGCAAGUGUCUACCGAGCUCUCGGUUCACCUCUGAACUCCCAUGUGACUCCAGCCAGGGUGGAAACCAGAGGCACUCGAGGACAGUGCAGUCCCCUUGGCUCAGAGGGGCGAGGGGUCCUGCCAGUGGCUGGCACUGCUCCUCCUGGUCAGAGGAAUGUCGGGAUGUGUGAAUUGUGGUGAUGGGUGAAGAGGGAGGCUUACCCUGAUCAGCUUAGCAAAACGGGGAUGUCACCUAGAGGAAUGUCCUGUCCUACCUGGACACAGGUGCUCAGAGGGAGAGCCCACCUACACAGGUGCAGCCACCUGCCAAGUGGUCCUGUCCCCAGGCCAGCAAAGCUCAGUGACCCAGGUGUCUGCCUUGCUCCUUAACACUGUCUCCCUGAGAACAAUGCUGGGCCUCCUUCGUCACCGUGUGAUGCCUCCAGGUGAGAAAAGUCACGGACUUGGAACUCUCUCCUCAGUAGCACAUGCAUCUUCCAGGUGAAGAAACAACCCUGGUUGUAAACUGCACUGCACCCCACUUGAAGAUGACAGAAUUGUGUGUUGAGAUAACACCCUUGGGAUAUGGCAUCGGACCUUGGCUCAGUGUUGAGCCCAACAAGAUCUCCUGGAGGAAAUGAAUGAAUCAA
rnacentral:lncRNA from 1 species